rnacentral:rRNA from 1 species
GACGAACGCUGGCGGCGUGCUUAACACAUGCAAGUCGAACGGGCCCGCUCUCUUUUUUGGGGGUGGGUUGAGUGGCGAACGGGUGAGUAUCACGUGAGUAACCUGCCCCCUGCUCCUGGAUAACUGCUUGAAAGGGCGGCUAAUACGGGGUGUGCCGGCUGGUCCGCAUGGGCCUGGUCGGGAUAGUUUCAUCUUCGGGUGUUUCGGUGGGGGAUGGGCUCGCGGCCUAUCAGCUUGUUGGUGGGGUGAUGGCCCACCAAGGCGGUGACGGGUAGCCGGCCUGAGAGGGUGGGCGGCCACACUGGGACUGAGACACGGCCCAGACGCCUGCGGGAGGCAGCAGUGGGGGGUAUUGCACAAUGGGCGGAAGCCGGAUGCAGCGACGUCGCGUGAGGGAUGGAGGCCUUCGGGUGGUGAACCUCUUUCUCCGGUGGUGAAGGCCCUGUCCGUUGCGGCGGGGUUGACGGUAGCCGGGUAUGAAGCGCCGGCUAACUACGUG